GGAGUUCUGCCUGAAUUAAAGGGCCACUUUGAUAGAGUGACUAAUGAGGGUUAAAAUCCCUCGGACUCCU
rnacentral:tRNA from 1 species